GACAGAGGGUGCAAACGUUGUUCGGAAUUACUGGGCGUAAAGCGUGUGUAGGCGGCUUUGCAAGUCGGAUGUGAAAGCCCCGGGCUCAACCCGGGAAGUGCACUCGAUACUGCGAAGCUUGAGUGUCGGAGAGGUUGGUGGAAUUCUCGGUGUAGAGGUGAAAUUCGUAGAUAUCGAGAGGAACACCGGUGGCGAAGGCGGCCAACUGGACGAACACUGACGCUGGAGACACGAAAGCGUGGGGAGCAAACAGG
rnacentral:rRNA from 1 species